GAAAGUAAACACAGUGCCUGGUCUCAGGGGCUCCCAGACCAGCAGAGCAGGCUGACAGAUACACAUUUGCUCACACCUGACUACUACGCAGGGGCAACAUGCAGAGGCCCAUGAAGGAGGCGUUGGGCUGGAGCUAGGGCUCCGGGUGUGACUUGGCCCCUGCCUUUUGUCCGGACUGGAUGACUCAGGGCAGCCAGGCCGGAGAGGCAGAAGGAAGCAAGGAGACUGAUGGAGGAAAUGCUUCAGAGAAGAGGAAAUAUGCAGAAUGUCCCUUUCUCAUCCCACGUGGCUCAGGCCUAAUGACAAAAGCACGUCACCUACAGAUGUUCCUGAAUGGCACCGGGGCCCUUGGGCUUAGGAGGUUCAAGAUUCCAGCCAAGAGGCCCUAUCUGUAGGAGAAGGCUGGAAUGUGGAUGUGGUGGCUGGAGUGCAGUAGUCAUUUUGGGCCAUAAGGUAGAAAGUCUAUGUUGAUAAGGAGCCUGGGUUCCUGAUGAUUGGGGCUGUUAUUAGAACUCUAGUCUGUUCACCUUUCUUCUUCACUAUGUAAGAACAUAGUAAAGUGCAAACAAUGUGUUUGUAACAAACCACAGUUAUUUUGGGUUUUCUGAAACUUAGGAACCCACUCAUAACUAAUCUACCAUGGAAAGUACACACACACACACACACACACACACACACACACACACCCGAAGGAACACUAUUGAAAUGAAGGACAUGGGCUUCCCAGUUGGAUUGCUUUGCUCCAAAUUCUAGCUCCACUACUUUCUAGC